AAGUUCUACUUGAGAUUUUCACUAUAAUCCUAGAAUUACAGCACGGUUGUUUUACAAGCUCACAACCUACCUUGUUGUUUUCACGAGAUCACAACGAAAUCGGUCGAUUUUCACAGGCUCACCAAUUAGAACCAAUCCGACUGUUUUCACGGGCUCACAAUCCAACCCAGUUGGUUUUCCCCAGAUUACCAACUACAACCUAAACCCUUCUGAUUCAAUCCCUUGAUUUGAAUCAAGCACCCAAAUAUGAGAAUAAAUGUAUAAGUACAAGCUUCUAAGAAAGCAGAUAAAAUAGUUUAAAUGAAUAAGGGAAAAGAAGCUUCUCAGAUGAUUUUAGCCAAUCGAGACGCUGCUUCUUUUCUUCUGGAUCGUUUUCCAGAUCAAACAGCAAUGAAGGAUCUUUCUAUUAUGGCUCAGGUGUGGAGAAAGAAUGGAUUCUCAACAAAGACUUGCUUUUUUCCGAUUUUUCUUUGAAUAUCCUUUGAGCCCUUGUUUCAAACUGAUUUGCUUUCCCUCUUGUUUGGAUUUUUCGUUCUUAUUUUUGUUUCACUCUGAAUGGGUCUUUUUAUAGCUUAGUUUUGAAAAAACUAGCCGUUUUGUCGCGCCUGUCAUUUCUGACAAAAGGAUCCGUUGAAGCUGGAGACGUCUCGCCCAUCCAGGAGUCGACUCGACUAAAGUGGGAGACGUCUCGUAUGAGUCUGGAGUCGGCUCUUGCUGGGAAUCCUUCUGUCAGGUUAUCGAUCAACUUUUCGUUGGAGUCGGCUCGCGUGGUUCGGGAGUCGUCUCGCAUCUUCGUCCGCCGAAAACAAGUUUUCUGUCUUUGUCUGAGAGAAACGUCCCGUACUAGUGAAGAGGCGACUCGUGCUUCGUCCGCGGGAUAGGAGAUGACUCACGCUUGACUCGAGUCGACUCGCGCUUUGCGACCAGAAAUACCUCUUUCUGUCUUUUUGAGAGAGUCGACUCACGCUUGGUGGAGACAGCUCGAAGGUGUGCCAAUAUUCUAUGCUUGUGCCGAAGUCGACUCGAACUUCCUGGAGUCGACUCGAACUCUGAAAAAUGCUUGAGUGGUUCCAAAGCUUGACUCUAAGAUCCAUGAACCAUUUCUAAGUUAUUCUUUUGAAGU
rnacentral:lncRNA from 1 species